CGACCCAAAGAGGGGUCCGACAUACCAACACAGCACGACAGCCCGCGCCGGCGCCCUGGCCUUCAAGGCCUGCGAACCCAGCUUCGACCACAUCGACAACCGUUCUUGUGCCAUCCUCUCACCAGAUUUGCCGUCCCCGGCGACCCCAGUGCCUUCGUCUCCUUUGGCCCUUGCUCUUCCCCACACGGAUCUGGCGUCCUCAAGCCAAGCCCAGUUUGCCGCUUCGAUACCCUCAGCUGCCUGAGGACCGUAUUUUCACAAUCGUGAGUAGCAAUUGUAUAUGUAGACAUACUCACACUUCAUCGCAGUUCUUGCUGUGCUGUUAAUUCCUUGUACAGAGGAAGGAGAAAUAAUCACAGAGGCAGCUGAUAGAAUCUUGAGUUACUUGUCAAAGCUUGCAAACUUUUAUGACCUUGUUUGAAAUAGCACAAAUUUGGUUGCACGUCGAGGACCACGACCUUCACAGCCUCAAUUACAUGCACUCCGGUGCCACGAAGACGUGGUACGGGGUGCCCAUGAAGCUGCACUCGCGUUCGAGGAGGUCGUGCGCAUCCACGGUUAUGGCGGGGAGGUGAACUCCUUAGAAUUGUGAUUUGUGGUGCAGAAAUCUUUGCAAUGCUGGGGGACAAGACGGCGGUGAUGCCCCUGAAGUGUGCUUGUGGACUCGGGGAUUCCCUGUUGCAGAAUGCUGCAGAAUGCAGGGGAGUUCGCGGUCACUUUUCCCAGAUCAUAUCACUAUGGUUUCAGUCAUGGUGAACACUUUCAAGAGUUAGCCUUGCUGAUAAUCCUCUCUUUUACCUCGUUGAAAAGAAGAUGUCUGAUGUCUGAUGCAUUGCUUACUCAGUUAUGCCUGUCCAACUCAUGCCUUCAUGUCAAUCCUUGUGGCCCUAGAUAUAUGGAACUAGAUUUGUCUUAAACAGUAACGCAUCAAGGUGAUUUUUGCAAAUGCUAUAUCCAUUUGAUGCUGACCUUUUUAUUGUAUGGCGGGAAGAAACACCUUUAGGUAUCUCUGGGACUGUUUUGAGUUUUAGCCUUUUAGGCUAGACAACUGUAGGACAUUUGUUGUAGGGAUUAGCAUUUGCAAGGUGCAUGUUUUCUGUGAAUACAACAGUGCCUGUGCAUAUGACCGCAAUAGGAAUUUUCUUUUAUCACAUACCACUGGAAAAGGCAAACUUAGGCUGUUGGUCAUCGCUUUGGUGCCUUUCGUGAUGAAUUCUUCCAAUCAGCCUUGUGAAGAAUAUUUAUAUUUGGGCAGGAUUCAACUGCAGGGAAGCAUCAAAUAUAGCUACUCCUGAAUGGUUGGGAGUCGCGAAAGAGGCAGCAGUCCGCAGAGCCUCAAUCAAUCGUCCUCCCAUGGUUUCGCAUUAUCAGUUGCUCUAUGAACUUGCACUGUCAAUGUGCUUGAGGUAUUCUCAUAUUAUACAUGCUUCAUGGUGCAGACCUUUUCUUAUGAGAUAAUUAUUUCCCCUCCUGCAUCCCACCCAAAAAAAGAAGAAGAGAAAAAUGAAAAACUGUUUUACAGCCCAGUUUGGUCGUAGAGCCUGUCUUUUCAUGGGUUCAACUUUCAUUAUGUUAACUUAUUCAAGGCUCUAUUCUCAGUGGUGUAUAUAUUUGAUAUCUCCAUUUUCAUUUCUGCAAUAUCUCUACUACUUACAAAGUGUCUAACGAAUUCGUUCGUCUGCAAGUCAGCACGCCAACAUGUGGGUUGUAACUCUCACAACUCGAAAGUAAUCUUUGGUAGCAGGCGAGCAAGUUGUGUUUUUCCAGUGGAAUUUACUAGCUGAUCGAUAGAAAUAGUUUGCAUUAUGCUAGUUCGGAUCGACAAUUUAUUCUGGUGUGUUUCGUCUACCUUAAAAACAUUCCGCAUUGAUCAGCAUUGAUUGGCCUCAAUGUACAAAAAAGAUGCAUAUAUCAGUAUGUGACACUUCUAUAUAUGAUUGCUACUCUAUGCAAAUUGUUCCCCGGUCUUUCGGUUUUCCUUUGCCACUGCCCUAUCCUGCUGGUUCCCAGCUGCCAGGCCACUUAAGCCUGAUGAAAUUGUAGUUCUUUUUACACCAACUUGAUAUUUGCUAAUUAGUUGAAUGAUUGUCAAGAUGCAGAUGUGAGUAGCAGGGAUUUCUAUCUGCACCCAAAACAUCAGCAUUGUUGGUUUAUAUUUGUCCCUGGCCCCUCAGGGACAUUGCCGUGAUGCUGCUGGUGUGUAUGUUCAUUCUUUCUGAAUAUUAGCUGCUGACAUUCAAGUGAAUAGAAACAUGAGCGUGAUCCUAGGUUUGCCCAUUGUGCCAUACUAAUUUGGAAACUCCUUUCCAUCUGUUGAUUAUCUGUAGCUUUGCUAGACAAGUUGCUGCAUAUAUUCAUAACUGGUUGGGUAUUUCACCACUCCAAUUGAUCCUUUAUCAUUUUGAUUGCUGCUUGAUCACCUGUAAUCAAGAGCAAUAUUAUUAUUCUGAUGAAAUUUCUUAGUCAGCCGUGUUAGUUUUCACUUUCCUAUUAUUCUGAUGUUCUUGAUGAAUGAUGGCAAAUAUAGGUAAUUAGUAGUGUGAUUUACCUGAUUGCUUCCAGCUGGUAGUAGUAGAGUGGCAUUUUCUAAUCCAGCUGGUAGUAGUAGAGUGGCAUUUUCUAAUCGCAUAGUGUCCUGCUAUUAAACUCAAGGUGACUUAGCUGGGUUUCUGAACCUCUCUUAUUUCUUUUUCUUUUCUAUAAUUGAAUUGUUGUGUCUGCCAUCUAAUAGCAAAGUAAUUCUGCAGUGAUUGCUAAUCAAAUGGUUUGUGUUGGUUCGCAAACAUUUAAAGAGAGAUCUCGAUGUAAAGUGUUACAUCAUAAUGUUAGUACUUUCUGCUUAUAAUAUUUUAACACUUUGAUAUUCUUAUGCUGGCAAAUGCCAUGAAACUUGAAAAAAAAAAAACAGGCCAAAGCACUCCGUCCAGGUAAUCAAAGCGCUCCGUCAGGUAAGGUUUUUUCCAUAUUGUUUUUAGUUUUUUGUCCAUCCGAAGGAUGCUAUAUGCAAAUUGUUACAACCACAUAUCACUAAGACCAAAUUGACAGUUCACUGUCCAUCUAACUGCUACCUCUAUUUUGAUAGUUCACUGCAUGUUCAUAUGGGGCAUGAGUAUCUGUAAUUUCUGUCAAAAUUGUUUGAAAGUCACGCUACUGUGAUAUCCUUUUGGUUUUCUACGGACCAAUUUGAUAGUUCACAGCAUGUUCAUAUGCAUAGUUUAGAGCUCAUGUCAGCUUUACAGAAAAGUCUUUCAGUUAUCAGCCAAUCGACAUUUACAAUGCUUGCUCAGGUAAUCUCAAAAAUGCAAGGAGUAGGCACGUAUUGAACAACAAGAGCAAAAUAAGCACUGAACAUUUAGAUGGUGAACUAGCAGUCAAAUUUGUCGCCGGAAUUCACUUUCUAGCAAUACAUUGUAGUAACAUGAGAGAUCAAAUAGUAUCUCUCCAUGUUUGUGUUCAUGAUUUCUGUCAGUUUAAGAGUUGUGUUAUUUGCUUAAGUUGGCAAGUCAUUGGUUGGUCAAAAUGUCAUUUUGCAUUAGCUAAACACGGUAAAUUAUUGUAUCUCGUGAAAAUUUUCAACCCCGUUGUAACGCACGGGUGAGUAAGUCUCUAUUUAUUUAUGUGUGGCAUAUCAUAGUUCAUUGGCCCAGGUCGUCAACCCGCAUUAAUGGGAACAACCUUCUGUGUCCUGAAAUGAUCGUAAAAAAGCACUACACUUUCACCCCAUAUUUUUAGACAGUCGUGACCCGUGUCCCUUGACCCCGACCCGAGUGACCUGGGUUUCUGAUGGGACAGACCACGCGUAUGGGAGAAUCGAGCUUGGCUUCCUAGUUUUAUUAGCAACUCUCACUAGGUUUAUUAAAACAACGCGCCUCCUAAAGGAAGUAGGUUGGCUCAGCGGAGAAGGUGGGUAUAGGGGCAGGGUAGCGAGUCAGAUAUAGGCGUCGUCGACCGUGGGUGAUAGAGGAUGACCAGUAGGGUGUCAGGGUGGAGGAGGCAAGAACACUAGGUUAGCACGGCAGAGGGAGGUAGCAAUGGAUUCGAAGGUGGGAGCACGAUGCUGGCAAGCAAUGCAGAGGAGCUGGACACCGGAGAGUGGAGACAGGUCGAAAGAAGAUCCACAGAUGGGCGUCAACUGAAAAUAAAAAUAAAAAACAGGCACCUGACCAUUAACAUCACCCUUAAAAGAAAGUCAAAUUUUUAUUUUGUUAAAUAGU